UGGGGAAUAUUGCACAAUGGGCGCAAGCCUGAUGCAGCGACGCCGCGUGAGGGAUGGAGGCCUUCGGGUUGUAAACCUCUUUCGCCAGUGAAGCAGGCCAUCUUCUUUGUGGGGUGUUGACGGUAGCUGGAUAAGAAGCGCCGGCUAACUACGUGCCAGCAGCCGCGGUAAUACGUAGGGCGCGAGCGUUGUCCGGAAUUAUUGGGCGUAAAGAGCUCGUAGGCGGCUGGUCGCGUCUGUCGUGAAAUCCCCUGGCUUAACUGGGGGCUUGCGGUGGGUACGGGCCGGCUUGAGUGCGGUAGGGGAGACUGGAAUUCCUGGUGUAGCGGUGGAAUGCGCAGAUAUCAGGAGGAACCCCGGUGGCGAAGGCGGGUCUCUGGGCCGUUACUGACGCUGAGGAGCGAAAGCGUGGGGAGCGAACAGG
rnacentral:rRNA from 1 species